GUAAUGUCUGGGAAACUGCCUGAUGGAGGGGGAUAACUACUGGAAACGGUGGCUAAUACCGCAUAACGUCGCAAGACCAAAGAGGGGGACCUUCGGGCCUCUUGCCAUCAGAUGUGCCCAGAUGGGAUUAGCUUGUUGGUGAGGUAACGGCUCACCAAGGCGACGAUCCCUAGCUGGUCUGAGAGGAUGACCAGCCACACUGGAACUGAGACACGGUCCAGACUCCUACGGGAGGCAGCAGUGGGGAAUAUUGCACAAUGGGCGCAAGCCUGAUGCAGCCAUGCCGCGUGUAUGAAGAAGGCCUUCGGGUUGUAAAGUACUUUCAGCGGGGAGGAAGGUGUUGUGGUUAAUAACCGCAGCAAUUGACGUUACCCGCAGAAGAAGCACCGGCUAACUCCGUGCCAGCAGCCGCGGUAAUACGGAGGGUGCAAGCGUUAAUCGGAAUUACUGGGCGUAAAGCGCACGCAGGCGGUCUGUCAAGUCGGAUGUGAAAUCCCCGGGCUCAACCUGGGAACUGCAUUCGAAACUGGCAGGCUUGAGUCUUGUAGAGGGGGGUAGAAUUCCAGGUGUAGCGGUGAAAUGCGUAGAGAUCUGGAG
rnacentral:rRNA from 1 species